rnacentral:rRNA from 1 species
AUUGAACGCUGGCGGCAGGCCUAACACAUGCACGUCGAGCGGAGCGGCGGAAGGGGGAGUAAUGCCUAGGAAUCUGCAUGGUAGUGGGGGAUAACGGCCGGAAACGGGCGCUAAUACUGCAUACUACUAGCUGAGCCUAGGUCGGAUGAGGUAUGUGGUGGGGUAAAGGACGACCAAGGAGACGAUCCGUAACUGGUCUGAGAGGAGGAUCAGUCAACCGGGAACUGAGACACGGUCCAGAGUCCUACGGGAGUCAGCUGUGGGGAAUAUUGGACAAUGGGCGAAAGCCUGAUCCAGCCAUGCCGCGUGUGUGAAGAAGGUCUUCGGGUUGUAAAGCACUUUAAGUUGGGAGGCGUUACCAACAGAAUAAGCACCGGCUAACUUCGUGCCAGCAGCCGCGGUAAUUC